UACGAAGGGGGCUAGCGUUGUUCGGAAUCACUGGGCGUAAAGGGCGCGUAGGCGGCUUCAUAAGUCGGGGGUGAAAGCCUGUGGCUCAACCACAGAAUUGCCUUCGAUACUGUAGAGCUUGAGACCGGAAGAGGUAAGUGGAACUGCGAGUGUAGAGGUGAAAUUCGUAGAUAUUCGCAAGAACACCAGUGGCGAAGGCGGCUUACUGGUCCGGUUCUGACGCUGAGGUGCGAAAGCGUGGGGAGCAAACAGG
rnacentral:rRNA from 1 species